rnacentral:rRNA from 1 species
UCACGCUGUAAACGAUGUCGAUUUGGAGUUUGGGGGCAUGACCCUUGGGCUCGGAGCUAACGCGUUAAAUCGACCGCUGGGGAGUACGGCCGCAAGGUUAAAACUCAAAUGAAUUGACGGGGGCCCGCACAAGCGGUGGAGCAUGUGGUUUAAUUCGAUGCAACGCGAAGAACCUUACCUGGUCUUGACAUCCAUAGAAUCUUUCAGAGAUGAGGGAGUGCCUUCGGGAGCUAUGAGACAGGUGCUGCAUGGCUGUCGUCAGCUCGUGUUGUGAAAUGUUGGGUUAAGUCCCGCAACGAGCGCAACCCCUAUCCUUUGUUGCCAGCACGUAAUGGUGGGAACUCAAAGGAGACUGCCGUUGAUAAAGCGGAGGAAGGGGGGGACGACGUCAAGUCAUCAUGGCCCUUACGACCAGGGCUACACACGUGCUACAAUGGCGUAUACAAAGGGAUGCGAAGGUGCGAACUGGAGCGGACCUCACAAAGUACGUCUAAGUCCGGAUUGGAGUCUGCAACUCGACUCCAUGAAGUCGGAAUCGCUAGUAAUCGUGAAUCAGAAUGUCACGGUGAAUACGUUCCCGGGCCUUGUACACACCGCCCGUCACACCAUGGGAGUGGGUUGCACCAGAAGUAGAUAGCUUAACCUUCGGGAGGGCGUUUACCACGGUGUGGUUCAUGACUGGGGUGAAGUCGUAACAAGGUAACCA